ACGAACGCUGGCGGCGUGCUUAACACAUGCAAGUCGAACGGAAAGGCCCUGCUUUUGUGGGGUGCUCGAGUGGCGAACGGGUGAGUAACACGUGAGUAACCUGCCCUUGACUUUGGGAUAACUUCAGGAAACUGGGGCUAAUACCGGAUAGGAGCUCCUGCUGCAUGGUGGGGGUUGGAAAGUUUCGGCGGUUGGGGAUGGACUCGCGGCUUAUCAGCUUGUUGGUGGGGUAGGGGCUUACCAAGGCUUUGACGGGUAGCCGGCCUGAGAGGGUGACCGGCCACAUUGGGACUGAGAUACGGCCCAGACUCCUACGGGAGGCAGCAGUGGGGAAUAUUGCACAAUGGGCGGAAGCCUGAUGCAGCAACGCCGCGUGCGGGAUGACGGCCUUCGGGUUGUAAACCGCUUUCGCCUGUGACGAAGCGUGAGUGACGGUAAUGGGUAAAGAAGCACCGGCUAACUACGUG
rnacentral:rRNA from 1 species